rnacentral:rRNA from 1 species
AUUGAACGCUGGCGGUAUGCUUAAGACAUGCAAGUCGAACGGUAACAGGUUAAGCUGACGAGUGGCGGACGAGUGAGUAACGCGUGGGAAUCUACCUUGUAGUGGGGGAUAAGCCAGGGAAACUUGGACUAAUACCGCAUACGCCCUAAGGGGGAAAGGCGCAAGUCGCUAUAAGAUGAGCCCGCGUCUGAUUAGGUAGUUGGUGGGGUAAAGGCCUACCAAGCCGACGAUCAGUAGCUGGUCUGAGAGGAUGAUCAGCCACGUCGGGACUGAGACACGGCCCGGACUCCUACGGGAGGCAGCAGUCGGGAAUAUUGGACAAUGGGGGAAACCCUGAUCCAGCAAUACCGCGUGUGUGAAGAAGGCCUGCGGGUUGUAAAGCACUUUCAGUUGGGAAGAUAAUGACGUUACCAACAGAAGAAGCACCGGCUAACUCCGUGCCAGCAGCCGCGGUAAGGAUGAGACGU